CCUACGGGCGGCAGCAGUGGGGAAUAUUGCACAAUGGGGGAAACCCUGAUGCAGCGACGCCGCGUGAGUGAAGAAGUAUUUCGGUACGUAAAGCUCUAUCAGCAGGGAAGAAAAUGACGGUACCUGACUAAGAAUCCCCGGCUAACUACGUGCCAGCAGCCGCGGUAAUACGUAGGGGGCCAGCGUUAUCCGGAUUUACGGGGUGUAAAGGGAGCGUAGGCGGCAGGGCAAGCCUGAUGUGAAAGCCCGGGGCUCAACGCCGGGACUGCAUUGGGAACUGCCCUGCUGGAGUGCAGGAGGGGCAGGCGGAAUUCAUGGUGUAGCGGUGAAAGGCGUAGAUAUUAGGAGGAACACCAGUGGCGAAGGCGGCCUGCUGGACGGUGACUGACGCUGAGGCUCGAAAGCGUGGGGAGCAAACAGGAUUAGAUACCCCAGUAGUC
rnacentral:rRNA from 1 species